UCCCACUUGACCUAAACAGUGUUUUAGAAAAAAAAAAAAGAAAUCCUCCACACACUUUUACUAUAUAAUCAAUAUGCUUGAUGCUUAUCUUAGCAAAAAUGAUCAUGUUACAGCCCUAAGAGUCGUCACUGGCAGCUCAGAGUCUAACCACGAUUAGCUCUCCCAUCGAAUUACUCAGGAUUAUUGAGCCAUCAUCACAGACCAUGGAAGAAGGAUUCACCUGUGUGUCCUGUAUGAUUACACAAUUGAUCAGUAUCAUCAUGAUGAAUUGUCCUUCACGUUGCGAGAACACAUGGAGGAGCUCACUGUUUUCAUAAUGUCUCAGAAGCAUUGUUGGCUGUGUAUGGAGCAGUCGCUGGAGCAAGUUUUCAAGAGCGGCGGACAUAAAAAAACCCUGUUAACAAACCUGCCCUUUUAAUGCAGCGUAAUUUCUUUUCAGAACACUAUAAAGCACUUCAAAGCCUGUA